rnacentral:rRNA from 1 species
GAUGAACGCUGGCGGCGUGCCUAAUACAUGCAAGUCGAGCGAACGGACGAGAAGCUUGCUUCUCUGAUGUUAGCGGCGGACGGGUGAGUAACACGUGGAUAACCUACCUAUAAGACUGGGAUAACUUCGGGAAACCGGAGCUAAUACCGGAUAAUAUUUUGAACCGCAUGGUUCAAAAGUGAAAGACGGUCUUGCUGUCACUUAUAGAUGGAUCCGCGCUGCAUUAGCUAGUUGGUAAGGUAACGGCUUACCAAGGCAACGAUGCAUAGCCGACCUGAGAGGGUGAUCGGCCACACUGGAACUGAGGAACGGGCCAAACUCCUAAGGGAGGGAGCAGUAGGGAAUCUUCCGCAAUGGGCGGAAGCCUGACGGAGCAACGGCGCGUGAGUGAUGAAGGGCUUCGGAUCGUAAAACUCUGUUAUUAGGGAAGAACAUAUGUGUAAGUAACUGUGCACAUCUUGACGGUACCUAAUCAGAAAGCCACGGCUAACUACGUG